UACGUAGGGUGCAAGCGUUAAUCGGAAUUACUGGGCGUAAAGCGUGCGCAGGCGGUUAUGUAAGACAGAUGUGAAAUGCCCGGGCUUAACCUGGGAACUGCAUUUGUGACUGCAUGGCUAGAGUUUGGCAGAGGGGGGUAGAAUUCCACGUGUAGCAGUGAAAUGCGUAGAUAUGUGGAGGAACACCCGUGGCCGAGGCG
rnacentral:rRNA from 1 species